GGGCUGCUGAGCCCUGAGCGGAGAGGGCUCACCGGCUAGGCUAGCUACAGGACGAUGAAAACAGCUAACUCAAGCGAAUACAUGCUAGCAAGUACCGGUAACAAUUUCGUCAAAUCAAAACCGUCGAAAGGCAAUAAUCAAACGACACAUGUGUCUGUUAAAAAGUACAAGAUAUUCAGUGGUAUUUAGAGCUGUUGUCUCUAAACAUUAAUGAUAGACUUACUGAGUUAGCCAGCCCGUUUGUCAGAAAGCUGCUCGUCAGUACAGCCGUGUCGAUUGUGACCACAUUUGACUUCCAGCUCCCGAAUAUAGCUAAAGCGGUAUCACGAACUUUUGCUUUGGGAAUUCCGAGCAUCCGAUGAGCACGUGAAUGCAGAGAGAGCUAUGAUGAAACGGACAGCCGCGUUGCAUUCUGGUACAUGAAGUCAUUUAUUAGCGGGAGACGCAUUUAUAUGGAAAAUAUGCAUUGAUAAGCUGCAAUAAGCUCCCCCGGUCUUUCAGCCAGCCUGGUUCGUCGGUGUUCUUCGUCCUCGUCUUCCUCGAACAGAGUGUGGUGUAUACUCAGCAGCUGAUGGGUGGGGGCUCUGGUCAGAGGUGGAGGCUGAGUCUCUGGGUUUUCUGUCUGGUGGAGAGGCUCUCCGGGAGGAGGAGAGGACUUGGGACUGAGGGCGUCUUCGCUGGAGGGAGGAUUCGGGCUCACGCCAUUAACUGGUGAAAGUCUCACCUGCAAAGUUCCUGGUGAAGACGAGUGUGACCAGCAGGAUUGGGAUGAUGACCGUGCCGAUGGUGACAACACGAUCAAAGGGCAGCUCCAGCUUAAGCUGCACCAUGAGCCCCGCCAACGCCCCACCUUUCUCAUCCUGGGAGGAGCCAGGCAGGAUCAGCUCCUUCAGCUUCUCGCCGGCGAGCAGAGCCGUGGCCAUGUCUAAGUUCUGAUCGAGGAUGUUCUGCAUCCGGAACACAAAGAGCGACCGCUACAACCUCACCCUGGGCCGGGGACAGACCAGACACUCCCUGUGGCUGUGCUCAAACACAAACACACACACACACACACAAACACACACACACACACACACAGAAAUAUUUGGGCAGCUUCAGCCCCUGCCACCACACGUGGGAAAGAAGCAGGUCAUCCUGUGUGGUCUGAGUUCUUCAGAGCUUUGAGGUCUCUACAGUUUCCCACAGCUCUCCUCCUGUAGAAACAUGGACAUAAUGUUCAGACACACACUCCUGGCUCGGUCUCCUCUGUGCUCUGCCCCAUCAUCACUGUGCCUGGCUUCUGUCCACACUCUGUGGCAGGUUAAGGAAUGAGCUCAGGUGAGGAGGCGACCUGUGAUCCUCAGAGAGACUGAUCGCUGGCUGGAGACUCUUCAGUCAGGAGCAGCUCUGAAACAUCCUCUCCUGAAAGACAGAUACACAUUAUGGCAGUGCAGUUGUGCAUAUUUAACAAAAGUAAAGUAUCUGUGUGUGCAGUAAACCUGUCUGCAUUCAAUGUAGUUUUGUCCAAAAUUUUGUGGUGUGUCCUCCCCUUCAGACACAUACACCCUUGACUGUAUAACAUCAGUGACAGCACAACAGCUGCCCAAGUGAAACCAAAACUUUGAGAGCUCCCCAUGCUGACUGGCAGCAGUAUAGGUCCUUGUCAAGCUGAUUUAUGUCACAGUGUUCAUUUUUCUGACUAGUUCAGUUUGAAUUACUUAUUUGUUGACAUAAAAAGAGAGAGUGUGACAUCAUGAUUGACAGCUGUAUUGACCAAUUAGGCUCCUGCAGUGCCUUGCGCAUCGGUUUAUCAGAGUAAAGGAGGAACAGUGAGAGGAAACGUAACAAACAUUAACACUAGGGUCAUUGAACGUUACAUAACCAUCAGUGUCUGCUUCAAAACCACUCAAGAAUCUGUUCUGCUGUGGACUGGACCCACCUGGGGGAGCUUUGAUGCUUUAGUAGUGAAUGGUUUGUUGUCUGAGGUGGGUUAGGUAAAUCACUGUUGAUCUCAGUUGUUGUUAUCUCUUCAUGAGCCAACCAAAACUACCUGACCAGCCACCAAGCUAACGUUACUCUUGUGAAAGGUCAAAGUCUGAACCUUCUGAGACUGAAGCCCCUGAGAACAGUGUCGAUAAAAACACAGUAAAACCUCCGUUAUGGUGGUAAGCUGCAUCAUUAUUCUAUCUUUUAUACUAUUUCAUAUUUGUUAUUUAUUUAUUAUGUUUCAUUUAAAAUGUUUUAAAACAUAAAUCUGAGCAGGCCUCUAAGCCUUUAUGCUGCAUUAUGGACAACGUGUAAAAGGUUUUUAAGUUCCCAACAAAGGAAAAUAAAUCUUAUGUGCCUUUGUUUCCUCACUGUGCCGAAAAUGAACCGAA